UACGGGGGGAGCAAGCGUUGUUCGGAUUUACUGGGCGUAAAGGGCGUGUAGGCGGCCAGCACAAGUCAGUUGUGAAAUCUCCGAGCUUAACUCGGAAAGGUCAACUGAUACUGUGCGGCUAGAGUGCAGAAGGGGCAACUGGAAUUCUUGGUGUAGCGGUGAAAUGCGUAGAUAUUCGGAGGAACACCAGUGGCGAAGGCGGCUCACUGGUCCAUUACUGACGCUGAGGUGCGAAAGCGUGGGGAGCAAACAGG
rnacentral:rRNA from 1 species